UAAAAAGAGGUGGCGCUGAAUGCUACCUUGUCGUUCUUGAGUGCAAAGAGCCCGUGAUGACGUGCUGGUUGGCUUUCUCUCAAUUUGAUACAACCUGGAGUCAUUUGGGAAGAGGGAUUGCCAAUAUCAACUGGCUAACGGAAGCUGAUGUUCCAGCUGUGGCAGUGUUUGGAAGCCUUGAUACCCACGGAGGCUAAUCACAGACCAUCUGGGGAACCUAGAAUUGAGGGAUAGCUCUUGAUUUUGGCGCAGACUGUUGCUUUGUUUCGGUUUUGUUUUGAAUCUACGGUUGAAAAUAGCACGUCUCUGCCUCCACUGUGGCAACGUGGACAGGACUGGUAAUGGUGUCAAAGUCACCAAAUUCCCUAAAACAAAGGUGGCUCUCAACCUUCCUAAUGCUUCAACCCUUUAAUAAAGGUCCUCAUGUUGUGGGGACCCCCAACCAC
rnacentral:lncRNA from 1 species